CCGCCAUGCGCAGCCGGAGCAACUCGGGUGUGCGGCUGGACGGCUACGGGCGCCUAGUGCAGCAGACCAUCCUCCGGCACCAGGACGCGGUGACGGGCCUGCUCCCCGCCAGCGCCGACCACCAGGAUGCCUGGGUCCGGGACAACGUCUACGGCAUCCUGGCCGUCUGGGGACUGGGUCUGGCCUACCGCAAGAAUGCUGACCGCGACGAGGACAAGGCCAAGGCCUACGAGCUGGAGCAGAGCGUGGUGAAGCUGAUGCGGGGGCUGCUCCAGUGCAUGAUGAGACAGGUGGACAAGGUGGAGGCGUUCAAGUACAGCCAGAGCACCAGGGACUGCCUGCAUGCUAAGUACAACACCCACACCUGUGCCACCGUGGUGGGGGACCACGAGUGGGGUCACCUACAGAUGGAUGCCACCUCGCUCUACCUGCUCAUGCUGGCACAAAUGACGGCCUCAGGCCUCCACAUAAUUCACAGCCUGGAUGAAGUCAACUUUAUCCAGAACCUUGUGUUCUACAUUGAAGCAGCCUACAAAACUGCGGACUUUGGGAUAUGGGAGCGUGGGGACAAGACGAACCAGGGCAUCACUGAGUUGAAUGCUAGCUCCGUCGGCAUGGCCAAGGCUGCCCUGGAGGCAUUGGAUGAGCUGGAUCUCUUUGGAGCAAAGGGAGGCCCGCAGUCAGUGAUACGGGUGCUGUCGGAUGAGGUGCAGCACUGCCAGUCCAUCCUCCACUCGAUGCUGCCCAGGGCCUCCACAUCCAAGGAGGUGGACGCCAGCGUGCUCUCUGUCAUUUCCUACCCAGCAUUUGCUGUGGAGGACAGCGAGCUGGUGGAAAUCACCAAGCAAGAGAUAAUCACAAAGCUGCAGGGGCGCUACGGCUGCUGCCGCUUCCUCCGGGAUGGAUACAGAACCCCCAAAGAGGACCCCAACCGCCUCUACUAUGAACCUGCUGAGCUGAAGCUGUUUGAGAACAUCGAGUGUGAAUGGCCUCUCUUCUGGGCAUACUUGAUCAUUGAUGGGAUUUUCAGUGGAAACAUGGAGCAGGUGCAGGAGUACCGGGAAGCCCUUGAGGGGGUUCUCAUCAAGGGGAAGAAUGGGUUGCGCCUGGUGCCAGAGCUGUACAGUGUCCCACCAGAUAAGGUGGAUGAGGAGUACAGGAACCCCCACACUGUGGACAGGAUACCCAUGGGCAAGCUGCCGCUCAUGUGGGGGCAGUCCCUCUACAUCCUGGGUUGCCUAAUGGCUGAGGGGUUUCUAGCUCCUGGUGAAAUAGAUCCCCUCAACCGCCGGUUUGCAACUGUCCCCAAGCCUGAUGUGGUGGUCCAAGUGUGCAUCCUGGCAGAGACGGAGGGGAUCAAGGCAGCCCUGAGGAAGGAGGACAUCGACGUGGAGACUGUGGCAGAUGUCUAUCCCAUCAGAGUGCAGCCUGCUCGCAUCCUCAGCCACAUCUACGCCCGGCUGGGCCGCAACAAGCAGAUGUGCCUGACAGGUCGGCCCUAUCGGCACAUGGGUGUCCUUGGGACCUCCAAGCUCUACAACAUCAGGAAGAACAUCUUUACCUUUACCCCGCAGUUCAUAGACCAGCAGCAGUUCUACCUGGCUCUCGACAACAAGAUGAUUGUGGAGAUGCUGAGGACAGACCUCUCGUACCUCUGCAGCCGCUGGAGGAUGACUGGGCGGCCGACCAUCACCUUCCCCAUCUCCCACACCAUGCUCGAUGAAACGGGCAGCAGCGUGCACCCCACGGUGCUGGCAAUGCUGCGGAAGCUGCAGGAUGGGUAUUUCGGUGGCGCAAGGAUCCAGACGGGUAAGUUGUCGGAGUUCCUGACAACGUCGUGCCGAACGCAUCUCAGCUUUAUGGACCCUGGGCCAGAGGGUAAGGUCUUUGACAAGAGUUAUGAGCUCAGCAUUGACAGCUUUGAGGAGCUAGACGCCGAGGAGUGGCUGCAUGGCUUGCAGAUAGCAGAGGAUGCGGACACGUAUGACGAGGUUGCUCAGUACUUGGACCACCUGCUGCAGCGCACAGUUCCCCAGUCGAACCUUCCUCCCACCGCCCAGCGGGGAGGGCUGAGCCGCUUCCGGGCUGCUGUCCACACCACCCGUGACCUCAUGUCCCUGGCAUCCAAGGCCAAGGACCUUCAUGUCCAGAAUGUUGGGAUGUAUGUCCCCAGCAAGAUCUUCCAGGCAUCCCAGCAGUCAGUCAAGCUGCUGAGUUCACCCCACCAGCAUGACGUGGAUGGCAAGAGCCACGCACUCCAUGCAGAGAUGAACCUUCCCCGUGAUGAGGAUGGCAAUGUGGACUGCAAGGCACUGGUGGACCAGCUGCGUAUCUGCCCCACCCUGCAGGAGCAAGCAGACAUCCUCUACAUGCUCCACAUCCUCAAGGGGCCCGAGUGGCACACGGGGCUUGAUAGCGAGCCUGGCCCAACUGUCAAGGAGCUCCUCACUGAGCUGUACGUGCGGGUGGGGGACACACGCCAGUGGGCCCUGAUCCGCUACAUCUCUGGCAUCCUCAAAAAGAAGGUGGAAGCUCUGGACGAGGCCUGCACUGACCUUCUGUCUCACCAGAAGCACUUGACAGUUGGGCUGCCCCCAGAGCCACGUGAGAAGACUAUCUCUGCCCCGAUCCCCUACGAGGAGCUUGUUUGCCUCAUUGAUGAAGCCAGUGAGAAGAACCUCAGUGUGUCCAUCCUCACUCAGGAGAUCAUGGUGUACUUGGCCAUGUGCAUGCGCACACAGCCCACACUCUUUGCUGAGAUGUUCCGCAUCCGCAUCGGGCUCAUCAUCCAGGUGAUGGCAACGGAGCUGGCGCACUCCCUGCGCUGCUCGGCUGGAGAAGCCACUGAGAACCUGAUGAAUCUCAGCCCAUCAGACAUGAAGAACCUCCUCUACCACAUCCUCUCUGGCAAGGAGUUUGGGGUGGAAAGGAGUGUGCGAUCAAUCGACUCGUCGGUCACCACUAUCUCCAUCUGUGAGGUGGGGGCUGUUGGGGCUACCAAGCCUGAGCGUGCUGGCAUUGUCAGGCUGAAAAGUGAGAUCAAACAGCAAUUGGAUAAACGUAGGCAGUCUCUGACUGGGAGUAAGCCCCUCAGUUUGCAGUCCGGAGACACUGACUUGAAGUCCUCUCUGUCUCUGUGGUCCUUGUUUUGUCUGCCCAGUCCACUGGGCAUGCAGAGCUGCUGGGCAAGGGCUCCUUUUCAAGAAUGCUGGAAGACCAGGGCAGUAAGGACAGCCGACAUGGCCAGUGGCAGCGGAGACGGCGGCUGGAUGGGGCGCUCAACCGUGUCCCUGUGGGCUUCUACCAGAAUGUCUGGAAGGUCCUACAGAAGUGCCAUGGCCUUUCUGUGGAGGGCUUUAUUCUCCCCUCUUCAACAACCAGAGAGAUGACCCCAGGGGAAAUGAAGUUUGCUGUGCAUGUGGAGUCAGUCCUCAACCGUGUGCCCCAGCCAGAGUACAGGCAGCUGCUGGUAGAGGCUAUCUUAGUGCUCACUAUGCUGGUGGAUAUGGAGGUGCACACCAUUGGCGGCGUCAUAGCUGUGGAAAAGAUCUUGCACACAGCUAAUGACCUCUUCUAUGAGGAACAGAAAGCCCUGGGUGCUGACGACCACAUGCUGGAGAGGGAUCCCACGACAGGCAUCUGCAGCCUGCUGUAUGACAGCGCACCAAGUGGUCGGUUUGGCACCAUGACCUACCUGUCCAAGUCGGCGGCCAUGUACGUGUACGACUUCCUGCCCGCUGACGGCUGCUCCAUGCAGUAGCUCUCGCAGCUCCUCUCCCCAGGCUGCAGAUGCCAUGGGAGGGUUGUUUCAUACAGCUUUUUAAAGAUGGGCAUUAGGCUAGUUUGCAGGCAGCCUGCAUGGCCAUCUCUCCUCCCAGUCCUGGCCUCUCAGUGGGUGAGCAGCUCUCCUGAGGAGCUCUGCAGGAGGCACACGUGCUAAGCUGACCUGUGCCUGCAUGCAGACUGUGGAGCAAGGGCUGGCAGGGGAAGGCUGAGCUUUGAAGCCUGCUUGUGUUAGAAGUGUCUGCCUGCACGGCUCCUCCUGGGCUGUCACCCCUGGAGGGGCCUGUGUUUGAGGGAGAUGGAGAGGGCCUCCCUCACUAAGUGUGUGUGCUCAGCACUGCAGCGUUCCCUGGUGAGCUCACGUUCUCCCUGCCUCCAGCAGAUUCAAGGGUUUUAACCUGUUCUGUGCUGCUUUUCAUUCCAAACUUGCAGGAUUUAUACUAGUGUAGGCUGGCAUUCUUGCUCUUCCUGCUGCUGAUGGAAAAGCCUUAGAGGAGUAGGGGAUGCUGCCUGAGCCUCUCUCCCAGCACACUCAAAAUCAAAAGUCCAACCCAGCCACAGCUGUGCUGCUUGGAGGUAGGUGGCCCAUCAUGCCCCUCUCAAGUGUGUGUAGCUGGGUAGCCUGUGGGAGCCAGGAGCAUCCCAAGGUGGUAACAGAUCCCUGUUACCACCAAGCUGUGAGGACAGGGCUUCUGGCUGGCUGGGGGAUGCUGGUGGCAGCCCCUCCAUGCCGUCUGCUCUGUGCCUGGCUGUGUUGCUAAUGGCUAAGUCUCAGGUUCCCAAGUUCAUACGUGCCCUGUGAAGCAGCUCUGAGCUGCCUGCUUGGCUCAGCAUUAGCUGUGCCAUCACAGAUGUCCUCUUAACGUGCAGCUCUGGCCUCUGUCCCAGCUCCCACAGCCUUGCACAGGAGAGGGGUGGUGACUUUAGACUUGGUCCCAGCUCUGCUCUAUCCUGCAGGUCAAACCCCAGAGCGGUUGGACUGAUGGGGAUCAGGCACACACACAACACAAAGUGGUGGGGUGAGUGGGGCUAUAGAGUCAUAGAAUAAUUUAGGUUGGAAGGG